CACCGAAGUCAAGCAUCAUUGGGCGCGGUCAGUACUUGGGUGGGUGACCACCUGAGAACACCGCGUGCCGUU